rnacentral:misc_RNA from 1 species
GUGAAUCAUCGAAUUUUUGAACGCAAAUUGCACUUUCUGGUAAUCCGAAAAGUAUGCCUGUUUGAGGGUCAGUUAAAUCAUAAUCGGUGUUGUUUCUGCCUUUCGUGUUGACGCGUCGGCAUUGUGUCGUCUUCCCUUCGGUUAAGUUAUUUAAAAUUUUUUCAUGUUUUUCGUACGUAUUUCAAUCACUUACUUACGUUUAUUAUAUC